CCCUUCUUCUUCUUAUUGUUUCUGAAAUACAUAGCUAGUUGUUCGCUAUAUCAUCUUCAAGAUAGUUAUUUGUCAAAACCGUUCCUUUUCGUGGUUAAAGCUUCAUCUGAUGGUUGGGUCAGAAGCAUUCAAAGAAGAAGGAGAAGAGGAACCGUAUGAAGAAGAGUAUGAGGUUGAGAUUAGCUGACAAGGCUGGAGUGUUCAAUGUUGGUGAUCAAGUAUUCGCCACGAGUAUGAGGAAGCAGUAGAGAAAUUUGAUUCUGUUUUGGGAACAAAGCCAGAACUUCAUCAAGUCAUAAUGUUGCUUGUUGAUACUCUAAGCUAAAUCAAGUAUGCAUUUCACUACUUCAUUUGUUUUGGAUCAUUUUGCUGAGUGUACUUAGUCUGCGUAUAAAUUUCUAAAAUAGAUUUAAUCCUUCUAUAUAUGUUGUGAGUAACUCGGUCCAUAAUACCUCUAUAUGUAUUAUAACAUCAACCACAACAUUUUUUAGUGUUAUAACAUUCAAGAAAGCAUGUUCCAACUUAAUACUACACCAUUUUGAAUCCAUUUAAGUCCCACGUUGGCUAGAACAUCACACAAGCAAGUGCUUAUAAAUGUCUUACAUGCUAUUUAGUUUGCCGAGCUGAGUAGCACCAGCUUGUGACCCAUGUGGGGGCAACAAGGUGAUGGAACAUGGCUAAGGUUCAACAGGUUGGUCUGGUGGUUGCACCAUGCUGGCCUGCCCGCUCCAAGUUGUGAGUUGACACAUGGGACUUGUGCGAAGGCACGGGUCUUGUGGGUCUUAGACAGGAGGGUACUGCGUGAGGCUGGUUUCACAGAGCAGCGAACACUUCCUACUCCUGACAGUGGAGGGAUCACGGGCCGCUGUACCUCCAGCCUCAACACCUGGCUAGCCUAGUCUCUUGAA